GGAGGUAUAGCUCAGUGGUAGAGCACGUGCCUUUCAUGCAUGAGGUCCUGGGUUUAAUCCCUAGCACCUCCA
rfam:Camelus ferus unplaced genomic scaffold scaffold1652, whole genome shotgun sequence.